AGGCAAGCGGCAAAGAGCUCCUUUUCUCCUGCCUCUCAGCUGAUCGGCGGGUGGGCGGGGCUUCCAUGGAGGCCUCGUGUAGGCCUCUGUGAAGCCUGAACUCGAGUAGGGCCCAAGCCAGCCAGGAAGGAGGAGGCAGCCAGAGUGUUCUCUGCAGCAGAAGACCCCUUGCUGCACUGCUUAACCCAGACCAGCAUUUGCCAGGGGGAGAGCAACUGGCCCUAUCCAUCUCCAGCAAGGCAUCCCUCCAGUGGCUGUUGACUAUCACGUUGCUUUUAAAGACUGUGAGCCCUUUAGGGACAGGGAGCCAUUUUAUUUAUUUUAUUUAUAUCUAUGUAAACCGCUAUGGGAACUUCUGUUGAAAAGUGGUAUAUAAAUUUUUGUUGUAUUCAUGUGCUCAUUGUCACAAAUAAAAUGAAAGCUGCCCUCCUAUGCACACUUACCUAGAAGUAAAUCCCACUGGCCACAAUGGAACUUUCUUCUAAGUAAAUAUACAUAGGAUUGCACUGCAAAGGUA